GGUGGGGUUCCCGAGCGGCCAAAGGGAGCAGUCUGUAAAUCUGCCGUCAUCGACUUCGAAGGUUCGAAUCCUUCCCCCACCACCA
rnacentral:tRNA from 1 species